rnacentral:rRNA from 1 species
CGCACCUCGGUCCCCGCGGGAGUAUCGUCCGCCAGGCUAUAANANACCCCGGAGGGUGCUACGUUCCUGACGGUCUUAUCCCNNNGCGAAAACCGAUGCUGGCCUGUGCCGGGCGGAAUGCACAGGGGAGAACCCCUGAUGAGCCGCCCGGCCCAAGUCUGGUCAUAAGUGCUUCCCUUUCAACAAUUUCACGUACUAUUUAACCCCCUUUUCAAGGUGCUUUUCAUCUUUCGAUCACUCUACUUGUGCGCUAUCGGUCUCUGGCCGGUAUUUAGCUUUAGAAGAGAUUUACCUCCCAUUUAGAGCAGCAUUCCCAAACUACUCGACUCGUUGAAGGAGUUUCACACAGGCUUGGUGUCCAACCAUACGGGGCUCUCACCCUCUGUGGCGUCCCGUUCCAGGGAACUCGGAAGGCACCGCGCCAGAAACAUCCUCUGCAAAUUACAACUCGG